CUCACCGUGUUCAUUCUUCAGGUGCGUCAUUUGAUUCAGGUGUGGACCUUGACGUCUGCACCUCUUGAUACGGUGUCACCCAUGUUCUUCGUUUGCCCAGUAGUUCGAAGUGCGGCGUUGGCAGUAUCUUGCUUAGUGUGUUUGUGCUCGUAGAUCCAGGUCCUUCACUUGGUGGAAUCUGGGAGUUGUAAAACUCCUCCAUGUUUCUCAAAAUUUGUCCUGCUCAUAGAGACAAGGCAGAGAUCAAGUGCAUGGGCCCUGUUGGUGGAAAACACCAACAGAACCAAAAGUGUAUUUGUUUUUCUCUAACCUUAAGCAUAGUGAGCAAGACAAAGUUGAUGGAU
rnacentral:lncRNA from 1 species